AGCAUAUCAAUAAGCGGAGGAAAAGAAACUAACAAGGAUUCCCCUAGUAACUGCGAGUGAAGCGGGAAAAGCUCAAAUUUAAAAUCUGGCGGUCUUCGAUCGUCCGAGUUGUAGUCUGGAGAAGUGUCUUCCGCGCUGGCCCGUGUACAAGUCUCUUGGAACAGAGCGUCAUAGAGGGUGAGAAUCCCGUCUUUGACACGGACUACCAGUGCUUUGUGAUGCGCUCUCAAAGAGUCGAGUUGUUUGGGAAUGCAGCUCAAAAUGGGUGGUAAAUUCCAUCUAAAGCUAAAUAUUGGCGAGAGACCGAUAGCGAACAAGUACCGUGAGGGAAAGAUGAAAAGCACUUUGGAAAGAGAGUUAAACAGUACGUGAAAUUGCUGAAAGGGAAACGCUUGAAGUCAGUCGCGUCGUCUAGAAAUCAACCUGGCAUUCGCUCGGUGCAUUUUCUAGUUGACGGGCCAGCAUCAGUUUUGACCGUUGGAGAAAGGCCUUUGGAAUGUGGCACCUUCGGGUGUGUUAUAGCCUUGGGUCGUAUACAACGGUUGGGACUGAGGUUCGCAGCACGCCUUUUGGCCGGGGUUCGCCCACGUACGUGCUUAGGAUGCUGGCGUAAUGGCUUUAAACGACCCGUCUUGAAACACGGACCAAGGAGUCUAACAUGCCUGCGAGUGUUUGGGUGGAAAACCCGAGCGCGUAAUGAAAGUGAAAGUUGGGAUCUCUGUCGUGGAGAGCACCGACGCCCAUACCAGACCUUCUGUGACGGAUAUGCGGUUGAGCAUGUAUGUUGGGACCCGAAAGAUGGUGAACUAUGCCUGAAUAGGGUGAAGCCAGAGGAAACUCUGGUGGAGGCUCGUAGCGAUUCUGACGUGCAAAUCGAUCGUCAAAUUUGGGUAUAGGGGCGAAAGACUAAUCGAACCAUCUAGUAGCUGGUUCCUGCCGAAGUUUCCCUCAGGAUAGCAGAAACUCGUAUCAGAUUUAUGUGGUAAAGCGAAUGAUUAGAGGCCUUGGGGUUGAAACAACCUUAACCUAUUCUCAAACUUUAAAUAUGUAAGAACGAGCCGUCACUUAAUUGGACCGCUUGGCGAUUGAGAGUUUCUAGUGGGCCAUUUUUGGUA
rnacentral:rRNA from 1 species